AUUGAACGCUGGCGGCAGGCCUAACACAUGCAAGUCGAGCGGAUGAAGGGAGCUUGCUCCUGGAUUCAGCGGCGGACGGGUGAGUAAUGCCUAGGAAUCUGCCUGGUAGUGGGGGAUAACGUCCGGAAACGGGCGCUAAUACCGCAUACGUCCUGAGGGAGAAAGUGGGGGAUCUUCGGACCUCACGCUAUCAGAUGAGCCUAGGUCGGAUUAGCUAGUUGGUGGGGUAAAGGCCUACCAAGGCGACGAUCCGUAACUGGUCUGAGAGGAUGAUCAGUCAAACUGGAACUGGAACACCGUCCAGACUCCUACGGGAGGCAGCAGUGGGGAAUAUUGGACAAUGGGCGGAAGCCUGAUCCAGCCAUGACGCGUGUGUGAAAAAGGUCUUCGGAUUGUAAAGCACUUUAAGUUGGGAGGAAGGGCAGUAAGUUAAUACCUUGCUGUUUUGACGUUACCAACAGAAUAAGCACCGGCUAACUUCGUG
rnacentral:rRNA from 1 species